UCAUCAUACUAAUACCUCUAUGAGUUCCCAUAUGAUGCAAGGUUGCUACCCUCAAGGUUGGCCACCAUUCGUGGAAAUGCUUCACCCACUGCUCAAGAAGUGUAGCUGGGCAGACAAUGAGGCUGGGACCCAAUCCUCGAAACCUGCGAACAGUGUAUAAUAUAACGUGACAGGAUCUGUUAUACGCUACUCACAAGAUUUUGUGCAACCCGUUUUUACUUUGGGACCACGAACACGUUUCUUCAUCAAAGACUUGCCCUCGUCAGCUGGUGAAAAUACUAUCUUCAUAUAACAAUUGCCACUGGCGUUACAUCUAUUUUGAACUUAUCACUGUACCUGAAUCUGGCUGCUCGUCACUUGGGAUCCUGGUCUUUUCUUUGCUAGCAGGAGCACACCUCUUUUGUGCCUUCAACAUGGCCUUGCAUCUUGCGAGUUCUGCUUGUCGAAAUAUGUAGCGUUCCAAGUCCAAGAGCUGAGUCAUCUUGCUGGAAGUUCUGAAAAUUGAUGAUUGGUCCUAGAUUGAUAAAAUAGCAUGUGAUUUUUACAUGGAAGAUUGAGUAGCUGUCUUACCCUUCGGCACUUAGCUCCCGCACAGUCUCCGCAGAUGCUUGAAAGGGGGUAAUCUCUCCUAAUUGGACUCGUCUUGCUACCUUGGCCUCAUCUGUUUGGAAUUCAACUUUGCUUACAUGGCUUGUGGGCUCAUCCGAUUUUAUGAAAGACCAGAUUAAACGAGGAAAAAGAGGGAAAUAACCUAAGUAUUUUUCUCGAGUUUUCAUAGGUAAACUGUGAUAAUUUGGGGAUGAAAUAUCCAGCAUUUCGAGAAGCCGCAAAUAUCGCACAUUUAAUCGUGCUUAUACACAAAGCACAAACUCAAGUAGAACGAUAGCAGUACUGUUCAGUGUAAAUAGGUAAAUACGUACGAACGGCAGUACUUACUCUGGCAGACUUGUUCCAGUGUUAUCUCUAAUGAUCCUCUUCAAGUGUGAUCCAAGAGUCUAACAAGAGUCUAAUACCAGCUAAUACCGUUGACUGGAAGAUCUUUAGUCAAUGCUAAUACCCUAUCGAUUCUCAAUGAUGAUAAUACCCAACUCAAAAGACAGUGCCAUCGUUUGGAGACUCAACGAAUUAUUUUCACCGUCAAUGUACCAAAGAACUCGAGUCUGACAUCGUAACAGAGCAAGAGCAUUUGUCUGUUCCUUCUUUUUCAUACUUUGCAUCAAUGGCAUUACCGUGGUAUUACCGACUGUCAAUCAGUCAACAAUUUACUGUAGGUUUAC